ACCUUCUCCACCUGUCCAUCCUCCCUCUCCAGGCAGCUCCACAGCACCUUCUCCACCUGUCCAUCCUCCCUCUCCAGUCAGCUCCACAGCACCUUCUCCACCUGUCCAUCCUCCCUCUCCAGUCAGCUCCACAGCACCUUCUCCACCUGUCCAUCCUCCCUCUCCAGUCAGCCCCACAGCACCUUCUCCACCUGUCCAUCCUCCCUCUCCAGUCAGCUCUGCAGAUAAAUCUAUCCAGGCAUCGGGAACAGAAACAUGUGUAAGACAGGCCUGGAGGGGAAAAAAUGUGUAUGUACUGCUGUCAAAAAUAGGACCGUAUAAAAUUUACUACAUGGACAUAUAUCAAACAGCACCAUCAAUGGAACUUGAAAGCGAGGUCAUGAAUGCGUAUAUGCUCCUCCUGGUGCAAAAAUAUAACACGAGGUCCUGCAACAAGGCUGCAGCCAUCGACACUUUUGAAAUGUCCAACAUUUGGCAACAGAAGCGGGCAAAAGUGAAGAUGAACCCAGAAAAGUACAAAAUCAUACUGGGUAUAAUUAAUGACUGCCAUCAUUGGACUUUGACGGUCAUGUUUCCUCAAGAGAGGAGGGCUCUCUACCUUGAUCCAUUGGGGGAGAGCCAAAGAAACAUAAAAAGAUGCCAGGAUGUGACAAGAUCAUUCAUGAGACAAAAGGGGGUUAAAAUAUCUCGAUGGAUGUGUGACACACUGCCACACCCCCAACAAAGAGAUGGCAAUUCCUGUGGGGCCUUUGUCCUGAAGUUUGCAGAAUGCAUUCUUAAUGAGGAGCGUAUCAAAUUCUCCACAACCCCAAAUGGAGUAAAAGCUCUCAGGAUGGCAAUAGCCACCAACCUAAUAAAAAACACAGAUGACCUUAAGGACCUCUGCUACUUCUGUGGGGAAACAGAAAAUGACACAGACUGGAUCAGCUGUGAUGUCUGCUUAAGGUGGUUUCACUGCAGCUGCAUUCAGAAGUCAAUAAAGGCAAAGACUUUCAUCUGCCAGGCAUGCAGCACAUAAAAAUUUGGCAGAAAAAAAAGUGCUGGACUGUAAAUAGUUCAUUUCAGUGUAGAAACAAUUUAGUAUAGAUACAACACACUUUUUUGUUCUGUAUAGUUAUUGUAGUUAUACUUUUCUGUAUAGAUCUUUUUUUUUUCUUUGUAAAUUCUUAAAAGGACUGUUCACC
ensembl:lncRNA